UAUAUUUCGUCUGGUUUAUUUUCGUCCGGUUUAUUUUCGUCUCAUAUCCCACCACCAUAUCUCCUCACAUUGAUUUUUUUACCCUCACAAUAAAAACUUUCCUAACUUUUCCAAAGUUUCCUAACUAGACACGUUAUAAACGGGCAUGUACCGAUAGCACGUUAUCAAUUAAUAAAAUUUUGUUUUAUGACAAUCAAUUCCAAAUCCUAAUUUUCCUAAUGCAUCGAUCUUUGCCUUUUUUAAGUAGUUAUUUUGAUAGGGAGGGUUUAGCCACGAAAAUCAUCCCUCCAUCGUCGGCUGCAUCCCUCACCCACGUCGCUGUUGCAGGAUCUUCAUCCGUCAUCCUGAGCAAUUGGGGCGGCGAUGCGGGCGAGCUUCACGAUAGUGGGGAGGACCAGGCCGCGGUGAAGGCAGGUCAUGCGCUCCUCACGCUCCACGAACGGAACCUGCGCACGGAGGCGGUAGCGCGGGGUGGCAGCCGGCAAUGAGGCGGCCGCGCUACGUGACGAGCUACGGGUCCCCCUUUGUGAUGUUUUGGCAUCGCUCCUUCAUCGCACAUCCUCAGGCGAUGGCGGUGGUGUCGCUGAUGGCGGCGAGGACAGCAUGUGGCAGCUCCCGAAGCAUGAACACGACCGCACCUCGGGCCUGCCGUCUGCCAAGAUAUGGCUCUGGCCGAUUGACAAUGGAGGUUUGGGAUCCUUCCUCUCAGCACCCACUC